rnacentral:rRNA from 1 species
GGGGAAUAUUGGACAAUGGGGGCAACCCUGAUCCAGCCAUGCCGCGUGAGUGAAGAAGGCCUUAGGGUUGUAAAGCUCUUUCACCCGUGACGAUGAUGACGGUAGCGGGAGAAGAAGCCCCGGCUAAUUCCGUGCCAGCAGCCGCGGUAAUACGGAAGGGGCUAGCGUUGUUCGGAAUUACUGGGCGUAAAGCGCGCGUAGGCGGCCAUGCAAGUGAGGCGUGAAAGGCCUGGGCUCAACCUGGGAACUGCGCUUCAGACUGCACGGCUCGAGUCCGGGAGAGGGUGGUGGAAUUCCCAGUGUAGAGGUGAAAUUCGUAGAUAUUGGGAGGAACACCAGUGGCGAAGGCGGCCACCUGGCCCGGUACUGACGCUCAAGUGCGAAAGCGUGGGGAGCAAAC